rnacentral:lncRNA from 1 species
AAUGGCGUCGUUAGCCUCAUCUCUGCAGUCUCUGAAGAUCUCCUCCUCCCCAUUCACCCAUGGCUCCACUCCACUCUCUUCUCUCUCCAAACCCAUUUCCUUUCCGAACACUAGGAAGCCUGGUCUAGUCCCGGGGAUAAGAGCCAUGAAGACGAUGCAAGGACGCGUCGUGUGCGCAACGAACGACAAGACGGUGGCGGUGGAAGUGACGAGGCUGGCUCCACACCCGAAGUACAAGAGGCGAGUGAGGAUGAAGAAGAAGUAUCAGGCGCAUGACCCUGAUAACGUGUUCAAGGUGGGUGACGUUGUGAGGCUUGAAAAGAGCAGACCCAUCAGUAAGACUAAGUCUUUCGUCGCACUUCCUGUUCUCAAGAGGAAUGAUCUUGGGAUUCCGAUGGAGUCUCAGCAGCCGUCGCCGCCGCCAGGGGAAGAGUAGAGAUUGGUUGUUUAUUUGUCUUUGUCCAAACUUGAGUUGUAAUUCAGUUGAACUGUUGUUGUUCUUGGAAUGUGUAUUUCUUUUUCAGUUGAACUACUUGUUGUGUGAAGACUCUUUUUUUACCUACCUCCAGAUCUUCGUGUCCUUAUGUUUCCUGAAGAAACACGAUGUUGUUUUUACAUGGUGAAGCAACAAAGGCUCAAUGGUUCUUCCAUCUCCAAUUGAAUGUGUCCAUACGGACCAUUUUUUCUGGACUUCAAUUGGUAGGUCUAUUAUAAAAGGGACUCUCCAACCACAAGCCCUUGGACCUGUGGUAGAACCAAAUGUACUGCAGCGAUAAGCUCCCUCUUCUUACAUUCCCAUGCUUUAGUUCAAAAGCAAGCUACUCUACACAAUGUGACAAUCAAAUAGCUUCCAUUUCAUAUUCCAACCAAAUGUCAAUACAGGAUGAUUUGUAUUAGGUCUCCUAUUACCAAACAAAAUAAAAAAGUGAGUUGAAAAAUUCGAAACAAAACAUGAGUGAUCUUCUUGUCCCUUUUUGUGAUGAGUUUCUUCAUCUGAAACCUCCAGAAACAAAACAAAAGUAAGCGAAACCAAGUCCGAUCAACACAUUAACCCAAAUCUUAUCUUCCAUACUCUCCUCCCACGACACCUCUUCUAUCCCAAACAACUCGCAAGCUUUUCCCUCUCUCAUUAUACCCUCCAUACACCCUAUGCUGCCCGGCCACCGUCACAGCCGUGGGGGAACAAAAGCGAAGACAAGCCGGAACAAGGACCCAUCAGCACCACCGCCACCAAACACCGAAAGAGGACUAUGCAGGAAAGACUCAUCUAAAGCAGGGGCGUCUUAAAUGGGGGACAAUUAGAACGACCGCCACCGGGUCCAAUCUGAUGUCUUCCCACUUCUACAUAGUUAAGGGUCCGGCUUUUAAAAUAUACAUGUGAUUUUAUGUUAAAAUAUAUUAUAAAGGGCUAAACUUCUUUAAUAUAUAUAUAUAUAUAUAUAUAUAUAUAUAUAUAUAUAUAUAUAUAUAUAUAUAUAUAUAUAUAUAUAUAUAUAUAUAUAUAUAUAUAUAUAUAUAUAUAUAUAUAUAUAUAUAUAUAUAUAUAUAUAUAUAUAUAUAUGUAUAUUUGUUUUCAUCACAAUUUUUGUAAAAAAAUAUUUAUAAUUAUUUGUUAAUUAAAAACAAAUUAUUUAAAACUUUGAACCGUUAUUAGUUUUAAGGGUCCAAAAUUCUUUUUGUAAUAGGUCCGUAAAAUUUUUGAGCUCUCAUCGAAAGAGUUAAAAAAAAAAGGAUAGAAAGGAGUUUUGGUGCUACUAGAGAUAUAGUAUCUCACAUCGAAAAUUGUAAGAGACAUUAAAUAAUACAUAAAGAUUUAGAGCCAGUCCAUUUAUUAUCAAUUUGUUUUAAGUUAGAAAUCCAUAAUAAUCUCAAAUCUAAUAUAGUAUUAGAAUAUGAUCCUAAAAACCCUAAACCUCUGAUUAAUAUAACUUUUUUAGUUAACGCAGUUACGAGAUUUUUGCCUGAUAAAAAUUAUCGUCUUGAAGAGGGGUAUUAGGGAUAUAGUAUCCCACAUCGGGAAUUUAAGAAAACUUUAUGUCAUAUACAAAGAGUUAGAGCCAGUUUACUUCUCGCAAUUAAUGUUAAGUUGGAAGUCCAUAAUAAACUCGAAUCUAACAUGGUAUUAGAACAUAGAUCCUAAAACCUCUAAUUAAUAUAACUUUUCUACUUAACUCUCUGGAUCGGGUAUAACUGUCUUACGAAACUCGUUCGACCGAAUAUAAAAAUUUUAAAUUUGCAAGAUUUUUGGCCGAUGCUGCCGGGAACUCCUUUCAAGACCCAGUGCUUUCCUCCAAAAUGGCAAGAUUUUUUUACCCAGAUUCAUCAGUUCAAACACUGUCGCACCUCCUCUCCACAACCACCACCCAACAACUCACCGCCUCUCCCCUCUUUUGGAAAGAAGACACCGUUAAAAGUUAAAACCCAAAACUUCACACUUCACAUAUAUGAUAGGAAAAAGAAACCUAAGUCACGAGGGAGCACACAAAAGAUCUUCUCCUCAAAAAAUCUAGAGAUACAAAUUAUUACUGGAAAUGCUCCUAGAUUUGUAAGAGCAUUUCCAAAAAAUCUAGACAUGCACAACCCCGUUUUUCCGCCACUUGAAAUUUGAUUUUUGAAAUGCUCCUGAAUUAAACUCAGAGAGCUAAUGCAAUACGUAAGUGGUUUUUGAAGUCAAGAGUAAACGACUUUAAUGAAUAAGAUGAAAAAAAUCUACUACCUCUGUCUCUGAAAGUAAGAUUUUCUAGAGAUUUUACGUUUAUUAAGAAUAUAAUAAAUGUUUAUAAUUUAAUUUAUUAUUUAUUUUCUAUAUAAUUUUCAAUUAUUCUUCACCAAUUAAAUCUAAUCAAUUCAAAUAUUUGUAAUUAAUAUUUCUCAAAAAUAUACAAAAGUAUCUUGAAAAUAUAAAAAAAUUAAUUUUGUGAAACAAGAAAAAAUUUAGAAUAUCUUACUUUUGAGAACGGGCCAAUAUAUAAAUAUAUUUUGCUUAUAGAGAUCCAUGAUUAGACCCAAUAGUCUAUUAACAGCCCAAUAUUCAAGUGGAUCACACAUCUGCUUUCCACUAUAUAAAUCUCACCUUAUCUUCUUCGUCCCCCUCAAUCAAUGGCGUCGCUAGCCUCAUCUCUGCAGUCUCUGAAGGUCUCCUCCUCCCCAUUCAACCAUGGCUCCACUCCACUCUCUUCUCUCUCCAAACCCAUUUCCUUUCCGAACACUAGGAAGCCUGGUUUAGUCCCGGCGAUAAGAGCCAUGAAGACGAUGCAAGGACGCGUGGUGUGCGCAACGAGCGACAAGACGGUGGCAGUGGAAGUGACGAGGCUGGCUCCACACCCGAAGUACAAGAGGCGAGUGAGGAUGAAGAAGAAGUAUCAGGCGCAUGACCCGGAGAACGAG